AGAGUUUGAUCCUGGCUCAGGACGAACGCUGGCGGCGUGCUUAACACAUGCAAGUCGAACGGACGGACUCGAUAGCUUGCUAUUGGGAAAGUUAGUGGCAAACGGGUGAGUAACGCGUAGGCAACCUGCCCUUCAGAUGGGGACAACACUUCGAAAGAGGUGCUAAUACCGAAUGACGUAUCCCUUCCGCAUGGAGAGGAUACCAAAGGCCGGGCAACCGGUCACUGAAGGAUGGGCCUGCGUCUGAUUAGCUAGUUGGUGGGGUAACGGCUCACCAAGGCGACGAUCAGUAGCCGGUCUGAGAGGAUGAACGGCCACAUUGGGACUGAGACACGGCCCAAACUCCUACGGGAGGCAGCAGUGGGGAAUCUUCCGCAAUGGGCGCAAGCCUGACGGAGCAACGCCGCGUGAGUGAAGAAGGUUUUCGGAUCGUAAAGCUCUGUUGAGAGGGACGAGAGGCAAGGCUAGGAAAUGAGCUUUGUAGGACGGUACCUUUCGAGGAAGCCACGGCUAACUACGUGCCAGCAGCCGCGGUAAUACGUAGGUGGCGAGCGUUGUCCGGAAUUAUUGGGCGUAAAGGGAGCGCAGGUGGGAAAGUAAGUCAGUCUUAAAAGUGCGGGGCUCAACCCCGUGAGGGGAUUGAAACUACUUUUCUUGAGUGCAGGAGAGGAAAGCGGAAUUCCUAGUGUAGCGGUGAAAUGCGUAGAUAUUAGGAGGAACACCAGUGGCGAAGGCGGCUUUCUGGACUGUAACUGACACUGAGGCUCGAAAGCCAGGGGAGCGAACGGGAUUAGAUACCCCGGUAGUCCUGGCCGUAAACGAUGGAUACUAGGUGUAGGAGGUAUCGACCCCUUCUGUGCCGGAGUUAA
rnacentral:rRNA from 1 species